rnacentral:rRNA from 1 species
UAAUUGAAGAGUUUGAUCAUGGCUCAGAUUGAACGCUGGCGGCAGGCCUAACACAUGCAAGUCGAGCGGUAACAGGAGAAAGCUUGCUUUCUUGCUGACGAGCGGCGGACGGGUGAGUAAUGUAUGGGGAUCUGCCCGAUAGAGGGGGAUAACUACUGGAAACGGUGGCUAAUACCGCAUAAUGUCUACGGACCAAAGCAGGGGCUCUUCGGACCUUGCACUAUCGGAUGAACCCAUAUGGGAUUAGCUAGUAGGUGGGGUAAAGGCUCACCUAGGCGACGAUCUCUAGCUGGUCUGAGAGGAUGAUCAGCCACACUGGGACUGAGACACGGCCCAGACUCCUACGGGAGGCAGCAGUGGGGAAUAUUGCACAAUGGGCGCAAGCCUGAUGCAGCCAUGCCGCGUGUAUGAAGAAGGCCUUAGGGUUGUAAAGUACUUUCAGCGGGGAGGAAGGUGAUAAGGUUAAUACCCUUAU